UACGUAGGGUGCAAGCGUUGUCCGGAAUUAUUGGGCGUAAAGAGCUCGUAGGCGGUUUGUCGCGUCUGCUGUGAAAACUCGGGGCUUAACUCCGGGCCUGCAGUGGGUACGGGCAGACUAGAGUGCGGUAGGGGAGACUGGAAUUCCUGGUGUAGCGGUGAAAUGCGCAGAUAUCAGGAAGAACACCCGUGGCUAAGGCGGCUCUCUAGUACGGUACUGACGCUGAGACGCGAAAGCGUGGGGAGCAAACAGG
rnacentral:rRNA from 1 species